rnacentral:rRNA from 1 species
GAUGAACGCUGGCGGCGUGCCUAAUACAUGCAAGUCGAGCGAACAGACGAGGAGCUUGCUCCUCUGACGUUAGCGGCGGACGGGUGAGUAACACGUGGAUAACCUACCUAUAAGACUGGGAUAACUUCGGGAAACCGGAGCUAAUACCGGAUAAUAUAUUGAACCGCAUGGUUCAAUAGUGAAAGACGGUUUUGCUGUCACUUAUAGAUGGAUCCGCGCCGCAUUAGCUAGUUGGUAAGGUAACGGCUUACCAAGGCAACGAUGCGUAGCCGACCUGAGAGGGUGAUCGGCCACACUGGAACUGAGACACGGUCCAGACUCCUACGGAAGGCAGCAGUAGGGAAUCUUCCGCAAUGGGCGAAAGCCUGACGGAGCAACGCCGCGUGAGUGAUGAAGGUCUUCGGAUCGUAAAACUCUGUUAUUAGGGAAGAACAAAUGUGUAAGUAACUAUGCACGUCUUGACGGUACCUAAUCAGAAAGCCACGGCUAACUACGUG